rnacentral:ribozyme from 1 species
UAAAAUGAAAAGGAGACACCGGCGUAACCGAAUAACAGCUGAAGUGGGAAUAUAGUAUCCCUUUUUGAUAUCCUCCUGCUCCAUUUUUUCUUUUUUUUCCUUCU